rnacentral:rRNA from 1 species
UACGUAGGGUGCGAGCGUUAAUCGGAAUUACUGGGCGUAAAGCGUGCGCAGGCGGUUCGUUAUGUCCGUUGUGAAGGCCCCGGGCUCAACCUGGGAAUGGCAAUGGAAACUGGCGGGCUAGAGUGUGGCAGAGGGGGGUGGAAUUCCGCGUGUAGCAGUGAAAUGCGUAGAGAUGCGGAGGAACACCGAUGGCGAAGGCAGCCCCCUGGGCUGACACUGACGCUCAGGCACGAAAGCGUGGGGAGCGAACAGG